rnacentral:rRNA from 1 species
UACGUAGGGUGCGAGCGUUGUCCGGAAUUAUUGGGCGUAAAGAGCUUGUAGGUGGUUUGUCGCGUCUGCUGUGAAAAUCCAGGCUCGACCUGAACCUGGCAUUGCGUAGUACGGGCAGACUAGAGGUUCGGCGUAGGGGAGACUGGAAUUCCUGGUGUAGCGGUGAAAUGCGCAGAUAUCAGGAGGAACACCGAUGGCGAAGGCAGGUCUCUGGGCCAUUACUGACACUGAGAAGCGAAAGCAUGGGGAGCGAACAGGAUUAGAACCUCGUAGUCA